GAUGAACGCUGGCGGCGUGCUUAACACAUGCAAGUCGAACGAACCUUCGGGUUAGUGGCGGACGGGUGAGUAACGCGUGAGAAUCUGCCCUCAGGAGGGGGAUAACGGUUGGAAACGACCGCUAAUACCCCAUAUGCCUACUGGUGAAAUGAAUUUCGCCUGAGGAUGAGCUCGCGUCUGAUUAGCUAGUUGGUGAGGUAAUGGCUCACCAAGGCUUCGAUCAGUAGCUGGUCUGAGAGGAUGAUCAGCCACACUGGGACUGAGACACGGCCCAGACUCCUACGGGAGGCAGCAGUGGGGAAUUUUCCGCAAUGGGCGAAAGCCUGACGGAGCAACGCCGCGUGAGGGACGAAGGCCUCUGGGCUGUAAACCUCUUUUCUCAAGGAAGAAGAUAUGACGGUACUUGAGGAAUAAGCCACGGCUAAUUCCGUGCCAGCAGCCGCGGUAAUACGGGAGUGGCAAGCGUUAUCCGGAAUUAUUGGGCGUAAAGCGUCCGCAGGCGGCUUUUCAAGUCUGCUGUUAAAGCGUGGAGCUUAACUCCAUCAUGGCAGUGGAAACUGAAAGGCUUGAGUAUGGUAGGGGCAGAGGGAAUUCCCGGUGUAGCGGUCAAAUGCGUAGAUAUCGGGAAGAACACCAGUGGCGAAGGCGCUCUGCUGGGCCAUUACUGACGCUCAUGGACGAAAGCCAGGGGAGCGAAAGGGAUUAGAUACCCCUGUAGUCCUGGCCGUAAACGAUGAGCACUAGGUGUCGGGGGAAUCGACCCCUUCGGUGUCGUAGCUAACGCGUUAAGUGUUCCGCCUGGGGAGUACGCACGCAAGUGUGAAACUCAAAGGAAUUGACGGGGGCCCGCACAAGCGGUGGAGUAUGUGGUUUAAUUCGAUGCAACGCGAAGAACCUUACCAGGGUUUGACAUCCUGCGAACCUCUUAGAAAUUUGAGGGUGCCUUCGGGAAUGCAGUGACAGGUGGUGCAUGGCUGUCGUCAGCUCGUGUCGUGAGAUGUUGGGUUAAGUCCCGCAACGAGCGCAACCCACGUUUUUAGUUGCCAGCAUUUAGUUGGGCACUCUAGGAAGACCGCCGGUGAUAAACCGGAGGAAGGUGUGGAUGACGUCAAGUCAUCAUGCCCCUUACACCCUGGGCUACACACGUACUACAAUGCUACGGACAAAGGGCAGCAAACUCGCGAGAGCUAGCAAAUCCCAUAAACCGUGGCUCAGUUCAGAUCGUAGGCUGCAACUCGCCUACGUGAAGUAGGAAUCGCUAGUAAUCGCAGGUCAGCAUACUGCGGUGAAUACGUUCCCGGGCCUUGUACACACCGCCCGUCACACCAUGGAAGUUGGCCAUGCCCGAAGUCGUUACUCCAACCCUUGUGGAGGAGGACGCCGAAGGUGGGGCUAAUGACUGGGGUG
rnacentral:rRNA from 1 species